rnacentral:rRNA from 2 species
UGGGGAAUAUUGGACAAUGGGCGGAAGCCUGAUCCAGCAACGCCGCGUGAGGGAUGACGGCCUUCGGGUUGUAAACCUCUUUCAGCACAGACGAAGUUCCAUUCUUUUGGGUGGAUUGACGGUAUGUGCAGAAGAAGCACCGGCCAACUACGUGCCAGCAGCCGCGGUAAUACGUAGGGUGCGAGCGUUGUCCGGAAUUAUUGGGCGUAAAGGGCUCGUAGGCGGUUUGUCGCGUCGGGAGUGAAAACACUGGGCUUAACUCAGUGCUGGCUUUCGAUACGGGCAGACUAGAGGUAUGCAGGGGAGAACGGAAUUCCUGGUGUAGCGGUGAAAUGCGCAGAUAUCAGGAGGAACACCGGUGGCGAAGGCGGUUCUCUGGGCAUUACCUGACGCUGAGGAGCGAAAGUGUGGGGAGCGAACAGG